AAGACCUUGCGCUUUUGGAGCGGCCGAUGCCUGAUUAGCUAGUUGGUGGGGUAAUGGCCUACCAAAGCUUCGAUCAGUAGCUGGUCUGAGAGGACGACCAGCCACACUGGGACUGAGACACGGCCCAGACUCCUACGGGAGGCAGCAGUGGGGAAUUUUGGACAAUGGGGGCAACCCUGAUCCAGCCAUGCCGCGUGAGUGAAGAAGGCCUUCGGGUUGUAAAGCUCUUUCAGCCGGAACGAAACGGUUACGGAUAACACCCGUGACUACUGACGGUACCGGAAGAAGAAGCACCGGCUAACUACGUGCCAGCAGCCGCGGUAAUACGUAGGGUGCGAGCGUUAAUCGGAAUUACUGGGCGUAAAGCGUGCGCAGGUGGUUUUGUAAGUCAGAUGUGAAAGCCCCGGGCUCAACCUGGGAACU
rnacentral:rRNA from 1 species